UACGUAGGGUGCAAGCGUUGUCCGGAAUUACUGGGCGUAAAGCGUGCGCAGGCGGUUCGUUGUGUCGGCGGUGAAAGCCCCGGGCUCAACCUGGGAAUGGCCGUUGAAACUGGCGAACUGGAGUGUGGCAGAGGGGGGUGGAAUUCCGCGUGUAGCAGUGAAAUGCGUAGAGAUGCGGAGGAACACCGAUGGCGAAGGCAGCCCCCUGGGCUAACACUGACGCUCAGGCACGAAAGCGUGGGGAGCAAACAGG
rnacentral:rRNA from 1 species